GGCACAGUGGCUAAGUGGUUAAGACGUUUGCCUCACACCUCCAGGUUGGGGGUUCAAAUCCCACCUCCGCCC